rnacentral:lncRNA from 1 species
UUUUUCUUGAUGAUAUAUCUAAACUUACAGAAUUUUGAAACUUGCACUAACGAUAUUAGGGUGAUAUAUCUAAACUUUACUGAAUUUUGAAGAAACUUGCUACAAAUCAUUACUUAUUUAGGUGAUAUAUCUAAAGUUACAGAAUUUUGAAACUUGCACUGACGAUUUUUCUACACACGCACCAACUAUUCUGUGAUUUUUCAUGGACUGAAGAUAGAAUACGCACCAAACUAAUAUUAAGUCUGGUACAGAAAUUCUCUAUUCUUGAACUGACAAUAUUUCUUCUAUGUGGAAUACACAAGAUCUCCCCAAUUGGCCAUGAUGCAGGCAUCGCCGCAGACAAUACUUGGCGCACCGGAGAACCUGUACUAUUCGAUUUGUCGAGAGAGGACUGAGGGAACACGCCAGCGUUAGGGUGGCGGAUGCAAGUAUUGGAGUUCAGCCUAAAAUCACAAGAAAAUGGAUCAAAAUGAAUUCAAAUUGAUUUCUAAUCAUUUAUCAAGCUAUAAAAGUUAGAACUGAUGUUACACAAACCGAGGCAUUUUUUAUAUGAACAGCUCACGUAAUAUGUAUAGUACCACUGUUUUUUCAUUCUCUUGAACAAAUAACCAUAGACUAACGAGAGAAUGUAUUACUCAACAGUAGGCAUUUUCUUCUCAGAACCACUUUGGUGUUCUUUUCUUUUUCUUCACUUUUUGCUCUGCUUGGUUUUUUCUUUGCUUUAUGAAGUGCCCCAUCAGAAAAGUUGAACUUUAGAUUUUACCAAUCUCCACAUCUACUGAAACAAGGGAGCUCCUUUUGAAACAUGUACAAUGAAUUGAGAAGGCAUAUACAAGGUCAACUGAAAAACCAUAUACAAGGUGAACCGGAAAAGCUUCUGAGAAAAAAAAGUGAACCAACCUUUUGUUGUUUUUCUAGUUACUAAACUACUCCCUCUGUCCCCUAAUGUAAGACGUUUUUGCAGUUCAAUUUGAACUCCAAAAACGUCUUGUAUUAUGGGACGGAGGGAGUACUUAUUACCAUAACAGCGGCUGAACUGAUGCUGCAUAUGUAUAUAGGAAGGUUACUGGUACCAAAAAAAUAGGACAGUAAACAACAUUAUAAAUUGAAUUCCUGAAUGUUAUAUGAAGAUGAGGCAAUUGUACAUAUGAUUUGGCAUUAGAUGUACUGAAUAGCACACAUAAUAUGGACUGAAAAAAUUGAACUAGCACAACUAUUCUGCUUUUGAAGAUGGUGGCUUCAAUUCUACAUGGACUGAUGUCCGUGCUCCACUUGGACGGGUGCGAAUAACCAUGGUGGACGAGCUCGUGGCCGAGGGUGGCCAAGGCGACCACCGGAGACUGUAGGUGGUCGUGCUUGUUCUCGGCAACGAACUUACAUGAGGUGGUGGUGAUGGCCGAGGAAGUCAGAAAUCAGCGCUGAACUAAUAAAAUAAGAAUUGUACUAACUAAAAAUUAGAAUUUGAACUGAGCGUGUCACUGAAGAUGAACUUGUGCAUCUGUUUUUUGCUCCCGCACCAGUGUAACAAAUUCAAGAUGACAUGAAUUUUGUGUGCAUAUAAUAAGAUGAAUGAGUGAGAGAAGAAAGAGAGCAAUAAAAGGAUAUUUUUUUUCACCUUGAGAUGAUAUCUCUUCUUGAGGUCUUGAUCAAAAGUGACGGUGUAGGUACCACAUAACCACCAACUAAACACCAGACCUUAACAAACGAUGAUCUCUCCUUCCAGAGUCUGAACUUACUAGCUUUUCAUAAUCUGAAGAGGUGUAAACCUUUAUUGGCAAACUGCUGCAAAAUCCCCAAAUGCCAUAUAACAUAAAAUCCCCAAACUGCAGCAACAUUCAGUUCAAGAUAAGUUAUCAAUUCAGCUCUUAAUAAGCAAGAGAAACAGUAAAGAAAGGAUGCAUUUGCGUCAUCGGGCCAUUCUUUAGGCACACUAAAACAAACAUGCCACUCAUGUUAAGUAUUCUUUCCAAUAAAAUUUCUAGAGUAUCUUUGUUUAAACGUACUGUGGGGCGAACUUUUUCAUUGUGUAGUUUUUGAACCCCUAUGGUAGUAACACAUGAACUCCCUGAGGACACGAAUUCUUAUAUUAGCACCUAAAGUACAGAUCACACAUGAAAAUUGCUCUAAGUGGAGAAAUGAUCACACACGAAAAAUGAUAAUUGCAGGAAAACUUUUAUUUGAAAAAAGCUCUCUGUAUACCUUAUUGAACUAGCUUUUUUGAACUUGCACACUUUCAUUUCUGCACUUAUCCAAAAUGUUUGAAAGGAGCAGGUUGUUUGACAUUAUUUUGAACACACCUUUUCAUCUCCACUGUAUGGUAUCCUCCCAUAGGUAUUUGCACAAACAGGUGGUGUGCUAUGAAGAACAAUGGUACUAUGAGCGAGUGAAAUUAGAACUGAAACUCGUUACAAAUUCUUGACAAAAAGGAGCAGCAGAUAACCAUUAGUCCAUUACUCACGACAAACAAAACUCACCCCGUACAUAGCAAUUUCAUAAAUCUGCACGCACCUUGGGGAUUCCACUCGACCUAGACACUGAAUCAACUAUGACAGAUUGCUGUGAACCUUGCGAAUUGUGCUCCCUUUUCUUGGCAUGAGUGGUUGGAGCAGUAGCAGAAUUUGGUGCCUGCAUAUAUAUUUUGGACUGAUGAUCUUUUAGUCAUUGCACUAUUUUUGAUAUAUAAUCGAACCGAAAUAUAACCGCUACCAAGUCUGCACCACCAAGUACCUGCAUGAGUUCAGUUUUUUUAGACCAUAGUUCAAAGCAGUAAGGUUGCAAGUUCAAACAGUCAACGGACCAAAAAUUGUUUAAACACCAAUGUUGGAUACGCAUCAGUUUAGAAUCAGCAAAAACACAAGUUCAGUAUCAACACGACACACGUUCAGCUAUAGUUAACUUGAAAUGAACAGAAAGAACAGAAGACCACACCAUGUAAUUUAGACAUUUGGUAUAGUCUGAACUCUGACCAAAACUUACUAGAAGAGUGAUUAUUUUUUCAGCUAGUAGUUCGGAAGCAAUUUCAGAACACCAUACAUUUUUAGCUAGUGAAACGUGCGAUGAAGAACUGAACUCAAUAAACAAGAUUUUUGGAGAUGGAAGAAGGCGUCGCACGUCGGGUGAACCUGCUACCCCUACUCCUGUGGACUGACGGCUCUGGUGAGUGGAGCUGAUGGAGGCGGGGUUCACGAGCAGUGGCUGGGCGCACCGGGAUUUGGCCGCUGCAGGUGAUCCACGCUCGGGCUCGUGGUGGAGAAGACCACACCAAACUUUUUCAAUGAACUUCUAUUUUUUUGUGUUUGAACUUGCAAACUUUACAAAUAAGUACUUAUCUCACUUGUCUUUUUACUCACAAUGGGAUCAGAAGUGCACACAUAGAAGCAUUAACACAAGUAUCAGAUGUGGAAAACAACAAAAUUUAAAGCUAAACAAAUAAAUGUGCAAACAGAAAAACCUACAACUGACGGGCAUGAUCUCCUCAAUGAGCCAUGAUGCAGGCAUUGCCGCCGGCAAUACUUGGCGCACCGGAGAACCUGUACUGUUGGAUUUGUCGAGAGAGGACUGAGGGAACAUCUCCCUGCAGUUUAAUGUGACAAUGUAGUUCAUCUGCUCAAGAGGAAACCAAU